UACCUCAUGACCGAAGUAAGUUUCAGGGCCACAGGAUAGUCUGAUUCCAGGAUAAGAACAUGUAAGCUUUCUCCCACAAGGAAUCCACGAGAUCGUGGAGCCUUCAUCGAACAGUCAUUUGGAAUCAAUCGCGUCGGCAGCACUUCGAUCACCGCAUCGGCGAAUUGCUUCUGCGGAUCUAAAUCCGACAACAAAAAUCGAAGAAUCGCACUCAGAUUCAAGUAAGUUAUUCCUAAUUUCUUUCUUGAAUCUUGUUAGCUAUGGCGGAUUUUGAAUUUCUGAAGCUUAAUUAUUACCGAUAUACGCGUCGAAAUCUGGCUUUCGCGCUUCGAUGCUUGCUUUGAUACUCUCGAGGCUGUGACCUCUCUCUGCCAUGUCUCUCUGCAAUCGUUUUGAUUUCAAUUUCUAAUUGGAGAUGUUGUGAUUUAGAAUGCUCUGCCUGCUAAUUCAUAUUGUAUUUGAUCAAUGUAUACCUGAAUCUUCCAAGCGAAUUUGACCUCGUUGCU